rnacentral:rRNA from 1 species
UACGUAGGUGGCAAGCGUUGUCCGGAAUUACUGGGCGUAAAGCGUGCGCAGGCGGUUCGUGAUGUCUGGUGUGAAAGCCCCGGGCUUAACCUGGGAAUUGCAUUGGAAACUAGCGGGCUGGAGUGUGGCAGAGGGGGGUGGAAUUCCACGUGUAGCAGUGAAAUGCGUAGAGAUGUGGAGGAACACCGAUGGCGAAGGCAGCCCCCUGGGCUAACACUGACGCUCAUGCACGAAAGCGUGGGGAGCAAACAGG